AGCAGCCGCGGUAAUUCCAGCUCCAAUAGCGUAUAUUAAAGUUGUUGCAGUUAAAAAGCUCGUAGUUGAAUUUCGGGAUCAGUAUGUUGGUCGUGCUUCGGUACGUACUGUCAUUACUGGUUUCUACCUUCUGAAGAACCUUGAUGUCAUUAAUUUGGUGUCUUGGGGAAUCAGGACUGUUACUUUGAAAAAAUUAGAGUGUUUAAAGCAGGCUCGCGCUUGAAUACAUUAGCAUGGAAUAAUGAAAUAGGACGUUUAAUUCUAUUUUGUUGGUUCUAGGAUUGACGUAAUGAUUAAUAGGGAUAGUUGGGGGCAUUAGUAUUCAAUUGUCAGAGGUGAAAUUCUUGGAUUUAUUGAAGACUAACUACUGCGAAAGCAUUUGCCAAGGAUGUUUUCAUUAAUCAAGAACGAAAGUUAGGGGAUCGAAGACGAUCAGAUACCGUCGUAGUCUUAACCAUAAACUAUGCCGACUAGGGAUCGGAUGAUGUUAAUUUUUAAUUGACUCAUUCGGCGCCUUAAC
rnacentral:rRNA from 1 species